AACGCUAGCGGCAGGCCUAACACAUGCAAGCCGAGAGGUAGUCUCUUUCGGGAGAACACGACCGGCGCACGGGUGAGUAACGCGUAUGCACCUACCUUUGGCACGGGGACAGCCCGGGGAAACCCGGAUUAAUACCCGGUAUAGUCUGUUAUACACCUGUAUAAAAGACGAGAGCUACGGCGGCCAAAGAUGGGCAUGCGUGCCAUUAGUUAGUUGGUAGGGUAACGGCCUACCAAGGCAUCGAUGGCUACGGGGUCUAAAAGGAUGAGCCCGCACACUGGUACUGAGACACGGACCAGACUCCUACGGGAGGCAGCAGUGAGGAAUAUUGGUCAAUGGGUGGAAGCCUGAACCAGCCAUGCCGCGUGCAGGAAGACGGCCUUAUGGGUUGUAAACUGCUUUUCUACGGGACGAACGGCUCUGACGUGUCAGAGAUUGACGGUACCGUAGGAAUAAGCAUCGGCUAACUCCGUGCCAGCAGCCGCGGUAAUACGGAGGAUGCGAGCGUUAUCCGGAUUUAUUAGGUUUAAAGGGUGCGUAGGCUGGGCAAUAAGUCAGUGGUGAAAGUCCGCGGCUCAACCGUGGGAUUGCCAUUGAAACUGUUGUUCUUGAGUACAGUCGAGGUAGGCGGAAUGUGUAAUGUAGCGGUGAAAUGCAUAGAUAUUACCCAGAACACCGAUUGCGUAGGCAGCUUACCAGCCUGGAACUGACGCUGAUGCACGAAAGCGUGGGGAGCGAACAGGAUUAGAUACCCUGGUAGUCCACGCCGUAAACGAUGAUCACUCGCUGUUGGCAAUAUAGAGUCAGCGGCUGAGCGAAAGCAUUAAGUGAUCCACCUGGGGAGUACGUCGGCAACGAUGAAACUCAGAGGAAUUGACGGGGGCCCGCACAAGCGGUGGAACAUGUGGUUUACUUCGAUGAUACGCGAGGAACCUUACCUGGGCUUACAUGUAGCCGGACGG
rnacentral:rRNA from 1 species